rnacentral:rRNA from 1 species
AUUGAACGCUGGCGGCAGGCCUAACACAUUCAAGUCGAGCGAGCGGCGGACGGGUGAGUAAUGUCUGGGGACUGCCCGUUAGCGGGGGAUAACUACUGGAAACGGUGGCUAAUCCCGCCUACUGUCGGAUAACCCAUAUGGUGUUAGCUAGUAGGGAAGGUAAUGGCUUACAUAGGCGACGAUCCCUAGCUGAUCUGAGAGGAGGAUCAGCCACAAUGGGACUGAGACACGGCCCAGACUCCUACGGAGGCAGCAGUGGGGAAGAGUGGGCAAUGGGCGAAAGCCUGAUGCAGCCAUGCCGCGUGUAUGAAGAAGGCCCUAGGGUUGUAAAGUACUUUCAUUCGGGAGGCGUUACCUAAAGAAGAAGCACCGGCUAACUCCGUGCCAGCAGCCGCGGUAAUAC